UCCGAUAUGGUGUAGUGGCUAACAUUAUCGCCUCUCAUGACGGUCUCUGAUUAAUUGCGCGAUAGCCCGGGGUUCGAUUCCCCGUGUCGGAA